UGGGGAAUAUUGCACAAUGGGCGCAAGCCUGAUGCAGCCAUGCCGCGUGUGUGAAGAAGGCCUUCGGGUUGUAAAGCACUUUCAGCGGGGAGGAAGGCGUUAAGGUUAAUAACCUUGGCGAUUGACGUUACCCGCAGAAGAAGCACCGGCUAACUCCGUGCCAGCAGCCGCGGUAAUACGGAGGGUGCAAGCGUUAAUCGGAAUUACUGGGCGUAAAGCGCACGCAGGCGGUCUGUCAAGUCGGAUGUGAAAUCCCCGGGCUCAACCUGGGAACUGCAUUCGAAACUGGCAGGCUAGAGUCUUGUAGAGGGGGGUAGAAUUCCAGGUGUAGCGAUGAAAUGCGUAGAGAUCAGGAGGAAUACCGGUGGCGAAGGCGGCCCCCUGGACAAAGACUGACGCUCAGGUGCGAAAGCGUGGGGAGCAAACAGG
rnacentral:rRNA from 1 species